GCAAAUUGGCAAUACGUUCAACGUUAGCGGCGUGUUCCAUACGCACCGAAACAGCCAAUGUCUCGUCGCAAUCAACCAGCAAAGGUUAACGAUGUACUUGGUAAACGACGAGUGACUAUAAGGGAACAAAAAACCUGGAAUUUUCUGAUCGCAUUCGUUGUAGACCACAAGCGGAAGUUGCAAACGUUGUUGCACUCGUUGCAACGAGUGAUUUUUUUGCUGAUAAGACCGAAACUCUGACGCAUAACGGGGGUGGGGGAAUUGUG